rnacentral:rRNA from 1 species
GACGAACGCUGGCGGCGUGCCUAAUACAUGCAAGUAGGACGCAGUUGCGAACGGGUGAGUAACGCGUAGGUGACUGCCUCUUUGAGGGGGAUAACUAUUGGAAACGCUAGCUAAUACCGCAUACUCGUAGAUGGACCUGCGUUGUAUUUGGUAGUAGGUAGGGUAAUGGGCUACCUAGGCGAUGAUAGAUAGCCUACCUGGGAAGGGGGACGGCCAAACUGGGAAGUGGACACGGCCCCGAAUCCUACGGGAGGCAGACGGUGGGAAACGUCGGCAAAUGGGGGAACCCUGACCGAGCAAAGCCGCGGGAAGGAAGAAGGGUUUCGGAGCGUAAAGCUCUGGUGUUAAGGAAGCGGUACUUAACCAGAAAGGGACGGCUAACUACGUGCCAGCAGCCGCGGUAAUAC